rnacentral:rRNA from 1 species
GAGGUCCCGCCUGCCCAGUGACACCCAGUUCAACGGCCGCGGUAUUUUGACCGUGCAAAGGUAGCGUAAUCACUUGUCUCUUAAAUGGAGACCUGUAUGAAUGGCAUAACGAGGGCUUAACUGUCUCCUCUUUCGAGUCAAUGAAGUUGAUCUCCCCGUGCAGAAGCGGGGAUAUUUACAUAAGACGAGAAGACCCUAUGGAGCUUGAGACGAUAGGGCAGCCCAUGUUAAACACCCUUAUUAACGGACUAAACUAAAUGGCCCCUGCUUUAGUGUCUUCGGUUGGGGCGACCCUGGGGAAUACAAAACCCCCACGUGGAAUAGGAGCACCCCCCCCCCCU